UAUCGAACGUUAAAUUGUUAUUCGUAAUAUCUCUUUUCAAUGCUAAAGUAUGAAAACAUUUGUUAGCUAUGUAAAUUCAUCAAAUCAAAAGUUCUAGAAAGAUUUGGAAUAUUCUGAUUCUGUAACAAAUGUAAAUUUAUAUUUCGGUCAUUUUUGAAAAUAGUGAGUUACUAGGGAUUCGUCGUGGCCUAGAUUCCGAUUUGACUUUUAAUGGAGGUAUAACCGUGGCUGUAACAGGGACUUUCUUCUUGUCAAAAUUUUAUAUCGAAUGCAGCUAAGUCAAUUUAUUAUGUCACACAAUUAAUUAUUAUCUUUAAUCCAGUCAAAAACUGGAACUAUUUUGCGAUAUGGUUCCAUUUCGAGCGGUGAUCUGGUUAUGCGACGCGUUUACCCGAAUAAUUCGCUUUCAGAAUCUGAUUAUUCUGUUACCAAUUUAAUAAUAUAAUUUAAAAAAAACAAAACUGUUUAGGAUUAUCUUAUUUACGGAAGAGAACGUGUAAUGGGUCGAAUGUCUCGUCAAUACAAUAUCAGACAUUCUGAGAUUAAUUUGUUUUUAUCGUUAGAUAAAUUUAUCGUCUCAAGGAAUGAGGCCGAAAGUUUUGAAACUGAAUCAAUCGGGUUGACUGAAAAAAACAAACAAAAAAAAACCCUAAGCAUGUCGCCACGGCCAUGGCAUCAUUAUAUCUAACCUUUUAUGCUUUUAUGAAGUCAAAGAACACGUUGAUUUGUUUCGCGACCUAUACAUAGGCCUACAGUAUUUGUUUAAAGACCCAAACGAAGUUGAUUUGGAGAAAAAUAAAGCUCCUUAAGCAGAGAAAAGACACAAGAAUGUAUUGAUGUUGGAUGUUUAAGUUGAAAAAAUCAAACUAAAGACUUCAGCAGAAGUGAAAUGAUCCCAAAAAGAACUUAAGGGGGGAAUAUUUUUCAAGGAAUAAUGAAAUCUAGAGAAGAAUACCAGAAGAAAAAUGGUACAGGAGAAAUUUCAAGAUCUAGAUUGGUAAAAUGCUUUCUAGAUGGAGCUUAGUAAAUGCAUUUCAAGAUUGAGCUUAUUAAAAAUUGAAUUCUAGAAAUAGAAACCUUUGAUUACCGUGCACCACAAGCUUUUGCUUACGAUAAUGUCGAAUCAUUUUGGUGUUGCAGAAAUUGCAAAAGAGUGGAUGGCGUCAUAUCUACAAAACAGGAGUUUUCGUGUAAAAGUUAAGAAUGAUUUCUCCGAUGUAAAACAUGUCAAUUUUUCAGUUCCACAAGGUAGCAUCAAUGGUCCGAUCUACUUUAUCUGCUAUACCAGUACACUAGCAUCCUGCAUCAGACACAAUCAAACAUUAGUUGGCUACGCCGAUGACCACAGCUUGUAUGACAGUUUUAAAGCCGGAGAUCUUGAUGCAGAAUCUCAUAUUGCUUCCCGCGUAUCAGAGUCCUUAGACGACGUUAAAAUCUGGAUGCUGCAUAAUCGACUAAAGAUGAACGACGAAAAAACUGAGGUUAUUAUCUUCGGUGGUAGCCGUCAGCUCCACAAGUCUACCAUCCAUGAAUUAAGAGUUGGGGAUUCUGUAGUUGGGUCUUCAUCCCGUGUUAAAUUCCUGGGGAUGCAUUUGGACGAAAACUUAAACUUAAAGAGUCAUUUUGCCCAGAAGACUUGUUGUGCUGCUUCGGCAAUGUUCAACUUGCGGAAAUUGAGACCGUUUCUUUCGCGAGAAUCAUCUCUUCAAAUUGCCAGUUCUUUAGUUUUCUCCCAUAUGGAUUACAGAAAUAGUCUGCUCUGUGGUUUGCCAGCAACUACUCUUCAACCUCUCCAACGAAUUCAAAAUUUUACUGCAAAGCUAAUUCUUGGUGUUAAUUACGGCCAUAGCUCGACUGGUGCUCUGAAAGAACUUCAUAUAUUGCCAGUUGAAGUCUGAUGCCAAUUCAAGCUACUGGUACUGGUGUAUAAGUGUCUCCACAACCUUGCCCCUGUCUACCUUUCUGAAUUAUUGCAGUCCCAAACUUCAUCAUGCAAUACGAGAUCGUCAUCAAAAAACAUGUUAUUUAUACCCAAGACAAAAAGUAAAACAUUUGCAGACAGAUCGUUCAGUGUGCUAGGACCGCGGCUCUGGAAUACCCUUCCAGAAAGUGUGAAACAAUGUCAAACUGUAACGGAUGUUAUUACAUCGUUUCUUCACAGACAGUUGAGUUGAUGAUAAUGUAACAAUAAAGAACUUUUUUCAUUGGAUCUUAUUAUUUCAUUACAAAUUUUGAAUGUAAAUACAUGUAACAUUUUGUUUUAUAUUUUGAAAUAUUGUAUAUAUUAUGGAAAAUUGUGAUAAUUGUUUAUUAAUUUUGAAAUAUCUAGACUGUGAUUUGGUUUUAAUUCAUGCAUAUG